ACGAACGCUGGCGGCGUGCUUAACACAUGCAAGUCGAACGGAAAGGCCCUGCUUGCAGGGUACUCGAGUGGCGAACGGGUGAGUAACACGUGGGUGAUCUGCCCUGCACUUCGGGAUAAGCCUGGGAAACUGGGUCUAAUACCGGAUAGGAGCCAUUUUUAGUGUGAUGGUUGGAAAGUUUUUUCGGUGUAGGAUGAGCUCGCGGCCUAUCAGCUUGUUGGUGGGGUAAUGGCCUACCAAGGCGGCGACGGGUAGCCGGCCUGAGAGGGUGGACGGCCACAUUGGGACUGAGAUACGGCCCAGACUCCUACGGGAGGCAGCAGUGGGGAAUAUUGCACAAUGGGCGCAAUCCUGAUGCAGCGACGCCGCGUGGGGGAUGACGGCCUUCGGGUUGUAAACUCCUUUCGCUAGGGACGAAGCUUUUUGUGACGGUACCUAGAUAAGAAGCACCGGCUAACUACGUG
rnacentral:rRNA from 1 species